UUAAGGUCGAGACACACACACACAGUAGAUAGACUCAUUUAUAGGUGAAAGUUUAAUCAUAUUUUGCUUGUGACUGCAUUUUGUGCCUGCAAAAGAACAGUUUGUUGCAGAAUGUGGGCCUGAUGUUCCAGACGAUAAGCGGGCGUCCGGCAGCGACAGGAAGCACCUGCCGUGAAGACAAUGUUCUUUUUUAACUGUGUCACAAGUUGUCAACAGAACAUUUGUGGUUUUAACUUAUGCAUGUAUUGUAUCGGAUGAUGUAUGAGGGGGCGUCGGUAAAUAUACCCUGAUGUUAUAAAAUCAUUCCUGUGUAGUUAUUGGGCGGAGAUCUACAGCUGAUGUUGUGCAGUGUACAUCUCCCCACGCGUGUUCAUUAAAAAUCAUCGUUUGACUCCACCCGGCCAGAUCAGUGUUGUUAUUUGGAUUUCCUCCUGUAUCCCUCCUUAAUAUUUGAACCCUAACACCUACAUACUACAAUAAUCUAAAUCAACAUAGUGUAGCCGGAUGGGCUACUCGCCUUUCAUUUCUCUCUCGCUCGCUCUCUCCUGCGCUCGCUCUCUCCUGCGCUCGCUCUCGCUGCGCAACUAUGUUAAUUAGGAACCCACCUGUAUAUUGAUUACAGGGUGGUGUUUACCUGUAUAAAGGGAAGCCGGGUUUUUUUGUUGGAUCAUUCCUCCCGAGCUUCUGGUGCGACACAGCAGUAAAUGCUGGCCUAUCGGUUAAUUUUACGAUCGGAUCGUGUGACUGCUACAGCCGUGGUGGAGAGACGCGUGAGUUGCGUCCACCGUGCAGUACAGUGCCUCCAGUCUUGGGGAUUUGAUUGCUGCCGCACCCUCUCAGGGAUCAACUGCCUGAUUUUAAGCGAAGAGUUGAGACGCCUGCCUAGCUGCUGUCUUGUCUUGCCUUGUUUUAUCUUGUGUUCCGAUCUGUUGGUUGUCCAGUUUUGUUCCUGCUGCUUACCUCGCCCCUGGGGGCUUUGGGUCUCACGCUAAGCCCCUUUUGGACUAUCGUUUCACUCCAGCUUUCGCGGCGGGUCGGGGCGAUCCUCAGCUGCAUAUUGGGCUGGUGUUACAAAACUGGUACUGCCUCUCCCUUUUCUCCCAGUUGUGGAGAGCUGUGCGAGACUGAGUGGGGCUACGGACAAUCGGAACCAGCACCAGCUGUGGGCUGGCUCGCAGACGAACUGAGGAUCUACCAGCGGCCGUGGGACCUUAGGUGGCGGGUCGUUUUCCACACUUCUUUUGUUGUACAGCACCAGGUGAAUAGACUAUAGUAGGUUUUUUUGUGUGGUUUUCUUUUGGUCCACCGCUGCUGGUAAGUCCCAGUUGUGUGUUUAUUUUUAUUGUAAUUUGGGACACCGUUUUAGACAUUCAGUGCACUCUCAGUGUUUUGUUUUUAUUUUACAUUAAUAAAUAAAAUUGUGUUAAUAUUUGAGUCGGCCUCAGUGUGCAUCCCUGAACCUGUGCAAAUGUUGUUGUUUUAAUUACAUUUCAUUUUUAAAGUUCAUUUUUCCUGGGGGCUAGAAUUCCCCCUCAGGUGGCGUUGUCAUUUUAUUAUUUCUUUUAUAACCCCGCCGACCACUUGGUCACAAUAGCGUAGCACUUUAACUGCAAGAAUAAGCAUAGCCGCACUCUAAACAUGUGGCUUCAACAACGUAUCAAAGUUACACAUUAAACUUCCGUCAUGUCACAAAAUACAACCACAGAACUACAGAUAAAUAUCAAAUAAACAAUACACAUACAGACGAUGCUCCAAAAGACGAAGGAUUGAGGGCAGAUGAAUGUGGAUUCAUGGCAGUCUCCUUGGCCAUGUGCAAACGUCACUAAACCUUACUACUUCCUGCUUCCUGUGAUGUCACCAGGUAUCAGAACUAUUAAAGGGACAGCUGCACUAACACUAU